rnacentral:rRNA from 1 species
UAUUCCUACGGGGGGCAGCAGUGGGGAAUAUUGGGCAAUGGGCGCAAGCCUGACCCAGCAACGCCGCGUGAAGGAAGAAGGCUUUCGGGUUGUAAACUUCUUUUAUCAGGGACGAAGCAAGUGACGGUACCUGAUGAAUAAGCCACGGCUAACUACGUGCCAGCAGCCGCGGUAAUACGUAGGUGGCAAGCGUUAUCCGGAUUUACUGGGUGUAAAGGGCGUGUAGGCGGGAGUGCAAGUCAGAUGUGAAAACUAUGGGCUCA